GUGCCUAACACAUGCAAGUCGAACGGUAACAGGUCUUCGGAUGCUGACGAGUGGCGCACGGGUGAGUAACGCGUGGAUAUCUGCCUAUUAGUGGGGGACAACUACAGGAAACUGUAGCUAAUACCGCAUAAUCUCUACGGAGGAAAGCAGGGGACCUUUCGGGGCCUUGCGCUGAUAGAUGAGUCCGCGUCUGAUUAGCUAGUUGGUAAGGUAAUGGCUUACCAAGGCGAUGAUCAGUAACUGGUUUGAGAGGAUGAUCAGUCACACUGGAACUGAGACACGGUCCAGACUCCUACGGGAGGCAGCAGUGGGGAAUAUUGCACAAUGGGGGAAACCCUGAUGCAGCGACGCCGCGUGCGGGAAGAAGGCCUUCGGGUUGUAAACCGCUUUCAAUUGGGAAGAAGAGAUGAGCACUAAUAUUGCUCUGAUUUGACGGUACCUUUAGAAGAAGCACCGGCUAAUUUCGUGCCAGCAGCCGCGGUAAUACGAAAGGUGCAAGCGUUGUUCGGAUUUACUGGGCGUAAAGAGAUCGUAGGUGGUUUGUUAAGUCGGAUGUGAAAUCCCAGGGCUCAACCCUGGAACUGCAUCCGAUACUGGCAGGCUAGAGUUUGGGAGGGGUAAGCGGAAUUCCGUGUGUAGCAGUGAAAUGCGUAGAUAUACGGAGGAACACCUGAGGCGAAGGCGGCUUACUGGACCAAUACUGACACUGAGGAUCGAAAGCGUGGGUAGCAAACAGGAUUAGAUACCCUGGUAGUCCACGCCCUAAACGAUGUCAACUAGCCGUUGCGGGUAUCGACCCCUGCAGUGGCGAAGCUAACGCGAUAAGUUGACCGCCUGGGGAGUACGGUCG
rnacentral:rRNA from 1 species